CUCCAAUAAGCUUAGAGGAAGCAAUAGACUCUUAAUCUAUCUUGGGUAGACUACCAACUACCAUUGGGGA
rnacentral:tRNA from 1 species